AUACAGGGGGUGCGAGCGUUAAUCGGAAUUACUGGGCGUAAAGAGUACGUAGGCGGUUGCUUAAGUCAGAUGUGAAAGCCCCGGGCUCAACCUGGGAACUGCAUUUGAAACUGAGUGACUAGAGUGUAAGAGAGGGGAGUAGAAUUCCGGGUGUAGCGGUGAAAUGCGUAGAGAUCCGGAGGAAUACCAGUGGCGAAGGCGGCUCCCUGGCUUAAAACUGACGCUGAGGUACGAAAGCGUGGGGAGCAAACAGGAUUAGAAACCCCAGUAGUCC
rnacentral:rRNA from 1 species